rnacentral:misc_RNA from 1 species
GGGUGCAAGCCAAAAUAGAGCAAGAAAAAUUGGACGUCCAGCCAAGCUCGGGUAUGGCGCUAAGCUAAAUGCCGCCGGAACAGAAGGGGGCUUACUCUCCUCACUC